rnacentral:tRNA from 2 species
AGAGGGAUAGCUCAGUUGGUUAGAGCGCCUCGUUGACAUCGAGGAGGUCGCUGGUUCGAAUCCAGUUCUCUCUACCA